GCCAAACAAACUCAAACUGUCUCCAGGAGACACAUUUUGAGCAUAAUAAAAUACCCAACUUUGCCAGCCGUGACUACCCAACACAAUAUCAUGCCACCCACUUAUCUAAAUCAAGAGGGGUGUCCAUAUUCACACAUAGCUCUCUAACGUUCAAACUCUUGCAGCUCAAUAAGGAUACUCAGGGUAGAUAUGUAAUACUUCACUGCAAGGUUAAUGAUAGGUUGUACAUUAUAACAGGAAUAUACGCACCCAACGAAAACCACAGAAAUUUCCUACACAAAGUGC